UUAUUUUAAGUAAUUAAAUUAGGCCUAGUCUUUUCAUCUUAUGAUCUUAUUACUAGACAGUCUGAGUGUGACAUGUUUACAACAUAUUACUGCUGGUUGCCAUGCCUGAUGAACAAACUAGGGGAAAAAAUCAAAUUUUAUGAGAAAACUUUGAGUUUUUUCACAAACUUCACAAUUUGUUGUUCGUCUAACGUUAUACAUAUUUGUGUCGGGCUCGAAGUUUGUUUGACAUCACUCAGUCUCUGGAUAAUGGCGUCUGUUGACAUGCACCAUGACUGGCAUGAAUCGAAUAAAGUUGGUAAUAAUGUUGUCAGAGUGAGAGAAUGACUAGAAGGGUUCUUCCUCGUGUUUAUGAAGUAGGAUGGCUGCUUCGUCAUAUAGUCGGUAAAUGUUGAUGAUGCUGAACAAGCUGAAGAGAUCCACUGUCUACUGAAGACCACUAUACAUGUAGAUGUUCACGCAGAGGUUUAUAUCUUUGGACAGAAGAAGACACAAACAGAGUCAUAAAAAGGGAUUUCCAUGAUUGGAUUAAAGGGGAUAUAGUCUACCCAGUAAAACAUGUCUGGAGCACUACUUGAGAGAAUCUACUUUGUCAAGUACACACUGCUUUAACGCCGAACAAGAAUAAUGAACGAAACAGAACAAGAGAAGGACCAAAAUGUAAUAAGUGAUGGAAAAAAAUUUAUUAACCAUCUAAACUUACUUUUACUCCAUAAAUCUUAGGUAAUCUAAGUUACUCUGUGACACAGUCAAGUUUUGUAUAUGAUGCUGAUAGAGUUUGUAGAGACAUGUAAUGAAUAAAGCGUCCUUCACAAAGAUUGUACAUGAAAAUUCAUUACCGAGUUAUUUUCCACCCGUCAUCAUCUUUGGCAUUGCUGUCACCAUCCUUUAAGACAUAAGGUGAUCUUGUAUAGACUUGUAAAAUUUCUGUCCUUUAAAUCCCAUACUUAAGUUCAAAUACAUGUCAUUAACAUGCUGAUGUUCUAUUGGUAUUUAUGGUUAUAAAUUGAUUUUACAAUACUGGUAAUGAUUAUUGACUGGUUAAAUGUGGAACAAAAUCAUUUUAAACAAAUCAAAUUUUCAAAUGAUUGUAACUUCAGGGUAAGAUAGAUUAACAGGAUAAUGCUAGCAAUAUUUUUACAGAUGCACAAUUUGGUUUGUACAGUCAUAAAGAAGAUACUUAUAUAGGAGGAAAUAUUGUAUGGUUGUAUUAUUGACUAUCAGAAAGCAUUUUAUGAUGAACAUAUCUUGUUUUCAAUAUAGACUUACCUCACAAUUAGGGUAUACAUGGUUAAUUGUUUGGAAUUAUAAAAUCAGUGGGAAAGUGUAUUUAAAAACUGUAUUAAUGAUAUAUGGAGGUAACAUAGUUCUGUCAGAUUAUUGUAAUAUAUACUGGGGUGUUUUGUAAAAUGAAAUACUUUCAUCACUUUACAUUUAUUGACUGAGUUCAAGGGCAACAUGCGUUUUGUCGGACCCAAGAAUCAAACUGUCUGCCUGAGGGUGUUAGGUUUUGUUAUAACUUUCAUUUUAUUUUAAUUUUUUGACUUACAUGUAUUUUGUACUAUAUUUCAUGAUGUAACAUCACGUCUACCACUGUUUAACACCAACAUUUGAAUAUGAGAUUCAGUUCUGUCCAUUCUGUGACGUAAACGGUCCAACAUCUCUCCGAGCGGUCCAACAUAGAUUUUUUUUCAUGCCCGCUGAGCAAAACAUUAAGAUAUGUUAGACUUUUCUUGUAUAGAUUUGUAUAGGAACACAUUUUUAAAGGUAUGAAAUGUUAUUUCAUUACACUAAAAUGAUCUUGAAAUGCAUGUUUUGAAUAAGAAUUGCCUUGAUUGAGAUACAAAUGAAGAUAAUUUUUUUUUAAUUGAAAGAAGGCAAAUGAUAUUGUUUUGGUUGUAAAACAAGAGCAAGAUUACAAUAAUUGUUUUAAUGAAUUGCAUUCUUUGGAAGGGAUUCUUUUUACAAUUAUAAAUAUAGGGGAAAAAACCUAAAUAUUGUUUUUAGAAAUGGUGAUACAUGAAAUCAAAUGAAAAAAUAGAAUUAUUGUGAUCAAAACAUUGGAAUGGUGAACCAGUUUUAGUACGAUAUUUGAUUUUAUAACUGGGAUUUAUUUUCGAACCCAGAAAUUUUUUUUUAAACCAGAGAAAAUGUCAUGUACAGCUUGCAUUAUUUAAAUAAAGUGAUUUAAAAAAAAUUAUAUAUGUAAAUGAUAUAUUGUGCUAUGCAGUUAAUAUUGGGGUAUCAAAAGGUCAUUUAUUAUAGAACAGAUAUGCACAAUGUACUGUAAGAGAAUUCCAAGGGUUAAACAAUGCACAUUUAAUAGCGUGAUUUGAAUAUGGAAGCUUUCCACUGGUGACAAUUGAAAAAUGAAAAAGUAAUACCCCGGUAGUUGAAAAUGCAAUGAAAUAAUUCAUUUUUUCAAGAUAUGUUAGAGAAUGGAGAUAAUGGAUUAUUAUCCCCCCACCCCACCCCCCGCUUGAAAAGUGGGAGGGUAUAUAGUAAUCGGUAGGUCCGUCCAUCUGUACGUCGGACGUACGUCAGUCUGUUACGCUUUUUGGUACCCAUCUCUUAUCUACAACUCCUCUUAUACCACUGAAUGAAAUUUAAUGAAACUUUCAGAGAAUCUUUAUUACAUUUUGCAAUUGAGCACCUCUUAUUUUACUUUUUGAACUAACAUACAUUUUGGAUUUUGCAGAGCAAAACAUGGAUACUGCCAUUAUAUUCAUUUUGGAGGAGGGUGGGGGGGGUAUCAUGUAGUGAGCUCAUUGCUCACAGUACCUGUAGUUGAUAAUAGAAAUGAUUUUAUCAAAAUAGAUUAACUGUGCUUAAUGACCGUAUUGUACGUUGUAUUGAAGAAUUUGUGAUGUUUUCAAACAAGUGCUGAGGAAUAUUUGUACUUUCUCAAAGGAUGUCUUGAGUAAAAACAUGGUAUAUUA